UUACGGCCGUAUCACGUUGAAACACCGGUUCUUUUAUGAUCAGCGAAGCUAAUCAACGUCGGGCCUGGUCAGUACUUAGAUGGGUGACCGCUUGGGAAUACCAGGUGCUAUAA